rnacentral:rRNA from 1 species
GACGAACGCUGGCGGCGUGCUUAACACAUGCAAGUCGAACGAAGAGCGAUGGAAGCUUGCUUCUAUCAAUCUUAGUGGCGAACGGGUGAGUAACGCGUAAUCAACCUGCCCUUCAGAGGGGGACAACAGUUGGAAACGACUGCUAAUACCGCAUACGAUCUAAUCUCGGCAUCGAGGAUAGAUGAAAGGUGGCCUCUACAUGUAAGCUAUCACUGAAGGAGGGGAUUGCGUCUGAUUAGCUAGCUGGAGGGGUAACGGCCCACCAAGGCGAUGAUCAGUAGCCGGUCUGAGAGGAUGAACGGCCACAUUGGGACUGAGACACGGCCCAGACUCCUACGGGAGGCAGCAGUGGGGAAUCUUCCGCAAUGGACGAAAGUCUGACGGAGCAACGCCGCGGGAGUGAUGACGGCCUUCGGGUUGUAAAGCUCUGUUAAUCGGGACGAAAGGCCUUCUUGCGAAUAGUGAGAAGGAUUGACGGUACCGGAAUAGAAAGCCACGGCUAACUACGUG